GUGGGGAAUUUUGGACAAUGGGCGAAAGCCUGAUCCAACCAUGCCGCGUGCAGGAUGAAGGCCUUCGGGUUGUAAACUGCUUUUGUACGGAACGAAAAGACUCUGGUUAAUACCUGGGGUCCAUGACGGUACCGUAAGAAUAAGCACCGGCUAACUACGUGCCAGCAGCCGCGGUAAUACGUAGGGUGCAAGCGUUAAUCGGAACUACUGGGCGUAAAGCGUGCGCAGGCGGUUAUAUAAGACAGAAGUGAAAUCCCCGGGCUCAACCUGGGAACUGCAUUUGUGAAUGUAUAGCUAGAGUACGGCAGAGGGGGAUGGAAUUCCGCGUGUAGCAGUGAAAUGCGUAGAUAUGCGGAGGAACACCGAUGGCGAAGGCAAUCCCCUGGGCCUGUACUGACGCUCAUGCACGAAAGCGUGGGGAGCAAACAGGAUUAGAAACCCCAGUAGUCC
rnacentral:rRNA from 1 species